rnacentral:rRNA from 1 species
UACGGAGGGUGCAAGCGUUAUCCGGAUUCACUUGGGUUUAAAGGGUGCGUAGGCGGGCAGGUAAGUCCGUGGUGAAAUCUCUGAGCUUAACUCAGAAACUGCCAUGGAUACUAUUUGUCUUGAAUAUUGUGGAGGUGAGCGGAAUAUGUCAUGUAGCGGAUGAAAUGCUUAGAUAUGACAUAGAACACCAAUUGCGAAGGCAGCUCACUACACAGUCAUUGACGCUGAGGCACGAAAGCGUGGGGAUCAAACAGG